rnacentral:tRNA from 1 species
GGUUCUAUAGUGUAGUGGUUAGCACUCUGGACUUUGAAUCAGCGACUCGAGUCGAUCUCGAUAGA